rnacentral:lncRNA from 1 species
UUAACGGCGCCUUAAAGCAUAUGAUAUUCACUCACGGCGACGUUAAAUGGGAGCAAGUUGACAGUAGGUCGCUCAUCUAGAUCUCUAUGGCAGAAUCCACCCCCGAUACACUGCCUUAAUAAUAACGCUAGCUUUGGUUUUGCUGUCAUAGCUAGCAGCAGGAUUUAAGAGAAGAGUCCAACUGCAGCUUGCAGCAGUCGCUCACGCCAGGCCCCCUGCUCACGCCGCGCCCCCGCUGGCACGCAACUUCCGACUUUCAGACAUGUACGGUUUGUUUUCAAGACGCAGAUGGACCAUAUUGCCAUAUUGAGUCAUGGCGGAAACAACUCCCGGGAAGCACCUGUAUGCACUCAGCCUGAGCACAGAGGCUCCAUUUUGGUUCAUUGAGAGGGACAUGGCACGCAUCUGAAAAUGGUGGUGCAUUAGUCUAAUGGAACAGUUCCAGAUUGACGGGUAAGACAACUCUAAAUGUUACUUCCUACAAUACAUUGCUUCUACAUUAGUUUACUUUUUUUAUUAUUUUACUAAUAUCUUACUCAAAAGCCAUGGACAGAGGUUUGCAUACUGGACUAAUGAGGCCAGAGCAUUGCUCCAAGGUUCACUGCAGCCGAUAUACAGGGUCAGCAAGAGGGAACAUGAGGUUUCGAUUAGAAAAGGAUGACAGGUGCAUCAUAUUGGAGUUACCAACGUGUGUGCUUUCUGAAAUCCUAAAUGAAGUGGUACUACAGGAAGGAGAUAAGGCAUACUUAAGAUUGGCUCUUGUGUGUCCACUGACUCCUUCAGGAGACGGGCACAUUUUCAGUGGCUUGACAGUAAGUGUUUAA